rnacentral:rRNA from 1 species
GGGCCCGCACAAGCAGCGGAGCAUGUUGUUUAAUUCGACGCAACGCGAAGAACCUUACCAGGGCUUGACAUCCAAUGAAUCCUACGGAAACGUGGGAGUGCCCUUCGGGGAGCAUUGAGACAGGUGGUGCAUGGUUGUCGUCAGCUCGUGUCGUGAGAUGUUGGGUUAAGUCCCGCAACGAGCGCAACCCUUAUGGUCAGUUACCAGCGAGUAAAGUCGGGGACUCUGACAAGACUGCCGUGGAUAACACGGAGGAAGGUGGGGACGACGUCAAAUCAUCAUGCUCCUUAUGUCCUGGGCUACAAACGUGCUACAAUGGCCGUAACAGAGAGAAGCGAAACCGCAAGGUGGAGCCAAACUCGCAAAAGCGGUCACAGUUCGGAUUGUGGGCUGCAACCCGCCCACAUGAAGUUGGAGUUGCUAGUAAUCGCGAAUCAGAAUGUCGCGGUGAAUGCGUUCCCGGGCCUU